rnacentral:rRNA from 1 species
AGUGAACGCUGGCGGUAGGCCUAACACAUGCAAGUCGAACGGCAGCACAGUAAGAGCUUGCUCUUACGGGUGGCGAGUGGCGGACGGGUGAGGAAUACAUCGGACUCUACUUUUUCGUGGGGGAUAACGUAGGGAAACUUACGCUAAUACCGCAUACGACCUACGGUUGAAAGCAGGGGAUCUUCGGACCUUGCGCGAUUGAAUUAGCCGAUGUCGGAUUAGCUAGUUGGCGGGGUAAAGGCCCACCAAGGCGACGAUCCGUAGCUGGUCUGAGAGGAUGAUCAGCCACACUGGAACUGAGACACGGUCCAGACGCCUAAGGGAGGGAGCAGUGGGGAAUAUUGGACAAUGGGCGCAAGCCUGAUCCAGCCAUACCGCGUGGGUGAAGAAGGCCUUCGGGUUGGAAAGACCGUUUGUUGGGAAAGAAAAGCAGCAGGUUAAUACCCCGCUGGUCUGACGGUACACAAAGAAUAAGCACCGGCUAACUUCGUG